rnacentral:lncRNA from 1 species
GCGGCAGCAGCUGGGGCGGCAGCAUGUAGGCUGGCAGCACACAGACUGACAACACUGGGGCCUGCAGCAGCUGGAGAUGCAGCAGCUGGGCCUGCAGCAGCUGGACACACAGCAGCUGGGGCGGCAGCAGCUGGGCCUGCAGCAGCUGGACACACAGCAGCUGGGCCUGCAGCAGCUGGACACACAGCAGCUGGGCCUGCAGCAGCUGGACACACAACAGCUGGGGCGGCAGCAGCUGGACACACAGCAGCUGGGCCUGCAGCAGCUGGACACACAACAGCUGGGCCUGCAGCAGCUGGGGCGACAGCAGCUGGAGAUGCAGCAGCUGGGGCGGCAGCAGGUGGGCUGGCAGCAUACAGACUGGCAGCAUUGGGGUCUGCAGCAGCUGGACACACAACAACUGGGGUGGCAACAAGUGGGCUUGCAACAGGUGGUCUGGCAACAGGUGGUCUGGCAGCAGCUAGGCUGGCAACAGCCUGGGCCACAGCCCUCCUCAGAGCAGACAGAGCCACAACAGGAGCUGACCAUGGUGUCAGAGGUGGAGGUUCUGAAUGGGUUUACAAGAAGGUGGGUUGAAAGGUUUGGAAGUGGGAGUCCCUCUGCCCACAUCCCCUUUUAUACCCUGCCAUGGGGCUAGUGUCCUCAUAUGCAACAUUCUUUCCUUGUUAUUGUUUGUGUUGAUAAAUAAUAUGUGAUUAAAAAAUUA